UCUACUAUCUCAGUCUCUCGCCUGAAACUUUGCCAAUUUCUUUGGCUGCUCCACUAUCUCAGUCUCUCCCUUUUCUCUCUUCUCUCUACUCUCAUGAGAAUUUCACCAAUCCCUCUCUUGACAUCUCUAUCACCACACUCUCUAACUCUCUCUAUCUCUCAAUCGAACCUCUUUUUUGAGUUUUUUGGUUGAAUCACACAGCAGCAAUCGGUCUCUUUGCUUGCCCAUUUAAGACAUGUAAAGAGUAAGCAAUUUGGGCUAGUGUUCUUAUGGUGGAAGUAGUAAGCGAAGUAGUCACUAUUUUUUGGACAAAACUUUGAGGGAGAUUUGAAGAAUCAGAUACAAAUCACUUGCAAAUUGAAAGUGUGGCUUGGAGUGUCCACCUGACCAGAAGGAAAGGCAAAUAUAGUGAUUGCAAGGCUGAACUUGUGAAGAUAGCCAGUCCAUAUAUACAUGCAAAAUGAUGAAACGGUUGCUAAACCCGUGAAAGGAUUGAUUCUUGGUCCACUUGCAAGCUUUAUAUUUUGGUUGCUGAACCAUGAACAGAAAGGAUUGCAGGAGGCCCUUAUAGUAGUUUUGCUGCUGUGGCAUGUGCAGGACUACUAUGAGAUGCUGCUUUUAGUGUUGAUGGAUGAGGUAAGCUACUUGAUCCUUUUCUUCUUCUUGUUCUUCUCUUCCCUUGUUAAAAACCAUAAUGAGGGAUUUUGGAAACCAUAACGAGAUCUAGCUAUACCUAAUCAACUUUAAGUAGCAGUUAUUUUUCUUAUCGUAGUCAUUUUUUAAUGCUAAGCUGUUCUGCAUCAAGCUUUGCGCAUUUGUCAAAGAUAAAAAAUUCGUACAAAAUGAAAGAUCAUUUCCAAUGGAAACUAAACAAAGGCAUUUUGAGCUGAAUUGUAUAAUAAAUAGGAUGUUGGUUUUCAGCUUUGGUAAAUUUUGUAUAAUUGGACCUUUUUAAGCAUGAAAUUUGCACAAGCAUCUAAUCUAAGCUAUGCACGAUUUGUAUAUUGACUACAUUAUGAGGUUUAAAUCAUAUCUAGUAGAAUUGUUUGUCAUUUGUCUCAAAAUGUUCUUCUAAUGGAAAUUAACUUGAAUGUUGGUUUCACUUGCUCUGCUUGAUUAAUGAUUGGGAUCUGAACGAAUGCCUGCUCCUCUUCAUGCUGUUGUUGUUCUCAGCAAACUCUUGGACGUGUGCCACACUGUAUUUUGCGUCCAUUGAUGUUUGUUGACCUAAUCACUUUCUAGACAAAAUUGGUGUAUUGAGAUUGGGAUAUAUCUUUCUCUGAUUGACCAAAAUCCUGAAAUCUUGUCAAAAUAUUUUGUUCUUUCUUCUCUGUUCUAGUGGAUUAUUGCAAUUUUUUGAACGAUUGCUUUCAUCCUCUCUUUUCUUCCUCAAAAUGAGCAUUUUGAUUCUUGAACAUUUGUAAUUUAUAUAUACUUAGACAAAUUUUCUUGGAUGUCAAUUGCCUCAAAAGGUCAAUGUGAACAAAUCUGUUUCUUCAUUAGCUACAAAGUAGUGAUUUGGGUGUGUAAAUAUUGAUCUUGGCUAACUAAUGCCACCUAGUAUACUAAAGGAUUAAAGAUACCUGUUAUUUCAGUUGUUUUGCUUGAUCAAGUUUUGGAUAUUAAUGUGAUCAAUUAGUUAUGUGCAAGUGUACCUGCAAAGCUGUGUCUCGUGGUCAUGGUUUCUGAGUGACUAUUACAAAAUGAUUGGAAUAAAAGUUGGGAUUUUUCUUAAGCCACUGUUGCAGUCACAAUUCAUGAAAGAUGCGGAUUACUACAGAUUGCUUGCUUAAUCUGGUUACAGUUUGAGAGUGACUCCUGUUGUAUAUUAACGGUUUUCUUACAUUGUUUUCUUUAUGUCACAUGGACUAUGGACAUCCUUUUUGACAUGAUUUUAGAGCAAGUAGUAGCUCCAAAGGAUGCAAAUAUGUUUCCUGCAUAACCUGUAAAGUUGCUUUGUAGUCAUGUUUCUUGAGUGGCUCUAUUUUAAGUUUGCUGUUUAAUGAUUGGGAUAAAUGUUGAAUUCAUGCUUUUGUGGGUAAUUGUUCUUGGCGUUAUGUGUUUAUGUCAUGCUUUCUUUUCUGUUUCUUGUUCGCUUGAUAACUUUUUGACUUGAGGUAUCAAUGAGAUCUUAAAUCUUUCAUGUUAAGUGUUCAAUGACUAUAUACAUUGACAGCAGGAAAUUCAGUUGAAUUAAUCGAUUUGGCCCACUUAAAUUAAAAACUCAUAUGCUACGCCUUACGAGUGAAAUUAUGCUUGGAGAAAAUCUAAUUAACUUGUUCUCCAAGAGCUUUUUGUUUAAAUAAUUAUCGUCAUGUCUUACAUAGGUUUACAUACAUAUUACUUGAACAUACAUAUCAUUUUUUAUUCAAUGUAGUGUGCCUUGUGCAUUCCUUGAGUUAGAUCAUGCAACUUGCCCCAAGAUGCUUAACUUCUUCACUGGCUGGAAUUUAGUCUAGACUUGACAAUAGGUGUUAAUUUUAAUCUAUGAAAAGUUGCUUUUUGGCCUGCUUUGAGAAACUGUGUACAAAAUCUGAAUUUUCUUGUUUUCUAAUUACUCUUGCUCUAUUCAACAUAUCCCACUGAAAUUGCCCAUCAUAUUCAGCUAAAACAACUAAUGCAUGAAGUACUACAUAAGAAAUGAAGUACUAACUAAUCCAUUCCUGAACAGCAGUAAGUAAGAUUUGUUACGUUGUUUUCUUUGGUUACUUUGUAUCGCUGUUCAGCAACCAGGAUCUUUCUUUUCCUUUUCUUUAUUUUGUGAGUUCACGCAUCCGAAAGACUAUCAGCAGUAAUGCUGGGUUUCUGGUGUACAUUGUUUUCUUUUGAUAUCUGCUUGAUGUUGAUGAGGAGUGUGAUUUAAGUGCUUAUGAUAUAAACUAACACACGUGUCAAACAAAACUAAUUGUGAACUCCAGAAUUACAAAUUCGAGGAAUGCCAACCAUCUAAAUGUAAACUGGAGUGUGCAAGCCAAAUUUGUAGUUAUGUAUCUAAAUGUAAAUCAUUAAUAGCACAAAAUAUCACAAAACUUGGCUCAGAGCACCGUCAAAUGGUGUAUCUCUAAAAUUGAUGUGGGAUGAGAUGGGUGAGAUCUAGCCUACUUGUGCGAGCAGAAGAACAAGGGCCUUGAGAUUGUUUUGGUGCUGUGAACAUUAUUCUGGACAGUGAUGUGGUAAGAAAUGAGGGAAAGAAGUAGAGAAGCUAAGAGAAAGAAGAACAACACAACUAAUAAACCAAAACUAAAUCUUCAUUCAUCAAAUUCUCUGCAAAGAAUGACAUAGAAACACAAGUAUUCAUAAAGUAAGAAGGUACCUAAAACUCCUAUUUCCAUAUUCUAAAUAGGAAAAGUAACUAGUUGUAGAACUUUAGAACUUAUAGGAACUUUCCCUUUCCCCAUAAGAAUGCUUGAACAACUUACCUGAUAUUGUAGAUAAUGAAAAGAGGCCCAAAAUGAUGACUGACAUUCUGGAAAUUUUAAGUGACAAAGGAAAGACCAAAAUGUUUAAGGCCUAAUAAGAGAAACCACUGAACAUGCAGAGAACUUUGACCAUUGUUAGACUCUAGGAAUCACCGCGGAUAGACUCUUUUAGACCAAAAUUAUUCUUUUUUGUCAAAUGAUCCUUUAGUUUUAUUCUUAGCUUCCAAGGAUGAAAAUAUCCUUUCAACCAGCUUAUGGUUGGAAAAUUAGUGGAGAAAUUGGUAGAGAAAAGGGUAGGGAAGGGAAACCAGUUAUUAUCACUUUUAGCUGAUUAGAACUUGAAGCUUCCAAAAUUUUGUUGUUAGCUGUGUCAAUUUGCUGCUAAACCAGAAAUAAAGCUUCAAUCCAACUGAAUCUAUUGGCCAUGCCAUCUAAUGUAGAGAGAAAAGAUUGCAAUGCUUCUAAUUUUUUUUUCCAAUUUCAUGCACUUUUAUCUUUUAGCAAAGCAACUUCUUUUGGACAUACUCUCAAAAUCCUUCGAGAAAGUCUCAAAGUUUGAAAAGAGUUCUGCGUUUGUAACCAUAUUAGUCAAAGAAGAAGAAAAUAUGGCUGACAAAGAGAAAAAAAGUUUGAUUCUUAACUUACAUAAGUCCUCCUCUUAAAUUUUAUUCAAGGAACUUAAAGUGGUCUUUUUGGAGUGCUUGUGGGUCAGUCCCAUAGGCUUGUGGCGGUUGCUGGACGGCAUACUCAAUUUCUAGUAUAGUGAACAUAUCGCAAAUACUUUUCUCCAUUCACAAUCUAGCAAUGUCAUACUCAAUUUGUAGUACAGUAGUGAACAUAUCGGAAAUACUUUGCUCCAUUCAUAGUCCAGCGAUGUCAUACUUAAUGGCUAGUAAAGUAGUGAACAUAUCUCCAUUCACAGUCUAGCAAAGUCUUUCAAGUCAUUACAGAAACACCAUAUAAUGGCCUCAUACUAAAAUAGACUGCUGGUAUAAGGGAUUUCAAAGAUAUGGCCUAUAGGCUCAUGCUAAUAUAAACCGCUGGUGUAAAGGAUUCCAGACUCUGGAAUCCAAGAAUCCGCCUGAAUAAACUUAGAAACUGUGAAAGCAAUGACUUCCUUGGACCGAUUUAAUGCUUUAUAUCCCACCCAUGAAAUUCGUCUCCCUGUAUCUGCACCAGCACCCCAAUUACCGUAUUCUCUGUAGGUUAGCUCAUCUGUGCGAUGGCCUGGCCACUCAUACCACCUAGCUGGAUCUAUGAUGCUUUCCAAGAAAGAUUGCAUCACAAUCACGGUUGACCAUGCAAACCAUGGUCUUCCAAGAAAAGCAUGAACCUGAGAUUUGUUGGACUGCAAAUCUGGGGCUGCUGUCAAAGUGGAAUUUUGAAUGACAAAUCCACUAAUCUCAUCGCGUGACCUUUUUCCCUAUGCAGUGAAAGUAAUAACACGGUUAGGCAACCGUGCAAAUAGGUUGCCGCUUUGAAAGACUGCCGCAGCAUUGCCAAACACAAAAUCAACAGUGCCGUAGAUGUCACACUCCUUAUAGAAUUGCCUGCCAAAGUGUGCACAGAGUGUGUCAUGGAACCCUAAAAAUGUACAUCUGUAAAAUGAUGAUCUGUCAGACUGGGACAUUAGGGCAACAGCUUGAGUGGCUUCUCCUGCUGAGUUUUCCAAAGUUAUGUACUUGGCCAUGAAACGAUUACCUUUAACAGCUGCAAACAAUGAAAUGUAAUGGCAUUUUAAUAAGCUUCAUAUGCUAUGAAAUAGAUAAAGAAAAAGUUUAUGAAAAAGAAAAAGAAAGGAAAAGAGAUAGUAAAUAAAGCUUGCUGAAAAUUUAAAUCCUGUAUGCAAUAUUUGUGCCACUGCAGAACCAAAAUGAACUUCUAAAUCUUCAUCUGCCAUACAUUUCCAGCUGCAAGGACACAAGAAAUUGAGCAACGUUCAUGGAAACGGUAUUAUGUUUAAUGCAAUCGUGUCCAAGAUAAGACCUGGAGCAUAUAGAAGGAUAAUGGAUGUCAUUGCAUCAGCACCCAUUCAGAGUCAAUCCAGGUACUUCAUUCAUGUGGAGGCAGGUAUAUAUGUGGAGAUUGUGAAAGUGUGGGUAAAUAAGACAAAUAUAGCUUUGAUUGGAGAUAGUGAAAAUGUAACCAAAAUCACAAUGAACAGGAGAUUCCCAGAAUUUCAAACAAACAAAACUGCCACUGUUUGUAAGGACUUCUGACUGCAAUUUAUAAUUAACGUAUAUGCUUUAGUAGGAUCACAACAUUUUAGUUUUAAUGAAAAGGUGUGUAGUAAAAGGCAGGGUAUGAAAAACAGGAGACAUCAAGUUCUCCUUUCUUCACUACCUUAUAGCACUUUGCCGUAUGUUGCAGUUCAUUGAAGCUUUCCUUUUAAUGCAGCAAAGAAGCCUUCUAGUACAUUGCAACAAGUCUAUUCCAAUUAUUUAGUUGAUCAGGCUUUGUGUUUACGGAAAAUUUCUAUUAUCUAUGUUAUUGAAUUUGUGUGCAAUAUGGUACUAAAGUCAGAUAUGGAACGGCUUUAUCUUAGUUUUACAUAAAGGCCUAGUUGCUUAUAUUCAUUUGAAGCACAAGAUUUCAACAAUAUCAAACAUGCACACUUUGUAUCUCUACUAUGUCUAGCUCUACAAAGUUACAGUGGCUUUUGAAUUUCAAUACCUCAAUUCUUCAAGCUCAUUUGCUUCGUGCAGCAAUCUAUACUCCUUGGAGUACUACUACAAUUUAACACAUCAUCCUGCAUUAUUAAGAUUAUUUAAUUCAUACAUUCUACUCAGUACAAUAUCUAAA